CUUGGAUUGAAGGGAGCUCC
rnacentral:miRNA from 4 species